rnacentral:rRNA from 1 species
AGGACGAACGCUGGCGGCGCGCUUAACACAUGCAAGUCGAACGUGAAGCUGGAGCUUGCUCCGGUGGAAAGUGGCGAACGGGUGCGUAACACGUGAGCAACCUGCCCCGAAGACUGGGAUAACACCGGGAAACCGGUGCUAAUACCGGAUACCUUCUUCCGAUCGCAUGGUUGGAUGAAGAAAUGGAUUCCGCUUCGGGAUGGGCUCGCGGCCUAUCAGCUUGUUGGUGAGGUAAUGGCCCACCAAGGCGACGACGGGUAGCUGGUCUGAGAGGACGACCAGCCACACUGGGACUGAGACACGGCCCAGACUCCUACGGGAGGCAGCAGUGGGGAAUCUUGCUCAAUGGGCGAAAGCCUGAAGCAGCGACGCCGCGUGCGGGAUGAAGGCCCUCGGGUUGUAAACCGCUUUCAGCAGGGACGAAUUGACGGUACCUGCAGAAGAAGGCCCGGCCAACUACGUGCCAGCAGCCGC